UAACCGCUGAAACUUAAGCAUAUCAAUAAGCGGAGGAAAAGAAACUAACAAGGAUUCCCCUAGUAACUGCGAGUGAAGCGGGAAAAGCUCAAAUUUAAAAUCUGGCAGUCUCUGGCUGUCCGAGUUGUAAUCUAGAGAAGUAAUGCCCGUGCUGGACCGUGUAUAAGUCUCCUGGGAUGGGGCGUCAUAGAGGGUGAGAAUCCCGUCUUUGACACGGACUACCAGUGCAUUGUGGUAUGCUCUCAAAGAGUCGAGUUGUUUGGGAAUGCAGCUCAAAAUGGGUGGUAAAUUCCAUCUAAAGCUAAAUAUUGGCGAGAGACCGAUAGCGAACAAGUACCGUGAGGGAAAGAUGAAAAGAACUUUGGAAAGAGAGUUAAACAGUACGUGAAAUUGCUGAAAGGGAAACGCUUGAAGUCAGUCGCGUUGGCCGGGAAUCAGCCUUGCUUUUGCUUGGUGUACUUUCUGGUUGACGGGUCAGCAUCAAUUUUGACCGCUGGAAAAAGGCCUGGGGAAUGUGGCAGCUUCGGCUGUGUUAUAGCCCCUAGUCGCAUACAGUGGCUGGGAUUGAGGAACUCAGCACGCCGCAAGGCCGGGUUUCGACCACGUUCGUGCUUAGGAUGCUGGCAUAAUGGCUUUAAGCGACCCGUCUUGAAACACGGACCAAGGAGUCUAACAUGCCUGCGAGUAUUUGGGCGGAAAACCCAAGUGCGUAAUGAAAGUGAAAGUUGAGAUCCCUGUCGUGGGGAGCAUCGACGCCCGGACCAGAACUUUUGGGACGGAUCCGCGGUGGAGCAUGUAUGUUGGGACCCGAAAGAUGGUGAACUAUGCCUGAAUAGGGUGAAGCCAGAGGAAACUCUGGUGGAGGCUCGUAGCGAUUCUGACGUGCAAAUCGAUCGUCAAAUUUGGGUAUAGGGGCGAAAGACUAAUCGAACCAUCUAGUAGCUGGUUCCUGCCGAA
rnacentral:rRNA from 1 species